rnacentral:tRNA from 1 species
AUCUACGUAGUUUAAUAAAACAUUACAUUUUCAUUGUAAAAAUAAAAAUAUAAUUUUUCGUAAAUA